GGAGGAGUACCGAAGCGGUCAUAACGGGGCGGCCUUGAAAGCCGUUAGGGUCCUCGUGACCCACGGGGGUUCGAAUCCCCCCUCCUCCG
rnacentral:tRNA from 1 species